GAAACAUCUUAGUACCCGGAGGAAGAGAAAGAAAAUUCGAUUCCCUUAGUAGCGGCGAGCGAAACGGGAAGAGCCCAAACCAACAAGCUUGCUUGUUGGGGUUGUAGGACACUCUAUACGGAGUUACAAAGGACGACAUUAGACGAAUCAUCUGGAAAGAUGAAUCAAAGAAGGUAAUAAUCCUGUAGUCGAAAAUGUUGUCUCUCUUGAGUGGAUCCUGAGUACGACGGAGCACGUGAAAUUCCGUCGGAAUCUGGGAGGACCAUCUCCUAAGGCUAAAUACUCUCUAGUGACCGAUAGUGAACCAGUACCGUGAGGGAAAGGUGAAAAGCACCCCGGAAGGGGAGUGAAAUAGAACCUGAAACCGUGUGCUUACAAGUAGUCAGAGCCCGUUAAUGGGUGAUGGCGUGCCUUUUGUAGAAUGAACCGG
rnacentral:rRNA from 1 species